UCACCAAUAUGGCUGCAUCCACGGACAGAGAGGAUGACAGAUUUUAUUAUGCGACUAGGGUUACAGAUUACACAUCUCAUGUAUUUAUAGUAUUUAUAGAUCUCAGUGAGAUCCCCGGACAGAGAGGAUGACAGAUUUUAUUAUGCGACUAGGGUUACAGAUUACAGAUCUCAAGUAUUUAUAGUAUUUAUAGAUCUCAGCGAGAGCCCCGUAGUUCGAAGCGGGAGAUUCAAGACAUAACAACACGAACAAACAACAAUAUUUCAUAAACUCUAAAGUUGAAAUCGAGCACAAACACACUAAAGUAGCCAUUAAAAAGGAGAUAAGAAAAAGAAAACACGAUUCUUCUUCGAGCACAAUCCUUCAAUUAAGUUCUCCUGCGUGUUGGUGUUGGUGUUGGUGUAGCUCUGCUGCGUCUCUUCUUCUUCUUCUUCUUAUUAUUAUAUCCAAUGCCGAAAAAGAAUUCCACUAACCAUCUUGGCCUUCCAUUUCUAAUAAUGAUGUAACCAAUACCAAUCCCAACUAUGAAUCCACUUCCAUAUCCCAUCACCACACUUCUCCAUCCAAAUCCAUCUAUAAAUCCAUACUCAUCAUCUUCGCCAUCUUCUUCUUCUGGCUGCAUCCGAUGUCCAUUCUCCUUGUUGCAUUUUCUCGUCAACGGAACUCCACACAGUCCCAAGUUUCCUACGUAUGAAUCAUUGUCGAAUGUGGAAAACUGCUUAGACUGUGGUAUUUGCCCCACAAGAUUAUUCGUUGAAAGGUUUAAUUUCGCAAGAAAUGUCAACCUUGUCAAUUCACUCGGAAUUUCUCCAUCCAACUUGUUCACUGACAAGUCCAAAGAUUCAAGUUCACUCAUAUUUGCAAGAGAUGAAGGUAUAUUUCCAAUGAGGUUAUUGUGGGAUAAAUUCAAGUAUUUGAGAAUCUUAAGAUUUCCUAUGGAAUCUGGAAUACUCCCAGAAAACCUAUUGGAGGAUAAGUCAAUUGCUGUAAAGGCUGACAACAAUCUUUCUAAUAAUUGAUCCAGCCCUUUCAAGGUGAGCCUCAUCUCCACAUAAAAAUGGAAGGUGUCGUCAUUUGACAAGUUUGUUUCAUUUACCUCUAUCAUUGAUAUGAAAUUCUUGAAAUAUCUUUGAGGCAGAGAACCCACAAAUCUAUUCUGAGAUAUAUCUAAAACUUGCAAAUUAUGAAAUGGAAUAUUGGUCUUUGAAGGAAGUGACAUGUUACCAUAAAACUUGUUAGACCUCAAGAUCAACACUCGAAGGUCUGGAAGGACUUCCAUCCAGAAGGGAAAUUCGUCUUGUAUUCUAUUAUUUCCAACGUCGAGGCCUCGUAGACUUCCGCAAUUGAUCAAGGAUUUAGGUAAUGGUCCUUGCAAUUUGUUGCCAUUCAAAUUGAUGGAUUCAAGACUACACCCCUUGCUAAAUGUUGCUGGAAUGAGACCACGAAACUGAUUUUUAUUUAAAUGAAAGAUGACCAGAGAGCUCAAGUUUCCAAAGCAUUGUGGAAUUGUUCCUUCCAAAGUGUUGUUUGAGAGAAGAAGAGCACGAAGAGUUGUCAAGUUACAGAUGGAGGAUGGAAGCUCACCGAUUAAUUUGUUGGAAGAGAGUUGUAGACCAAUCAAUGAUAGAAUAUUCCCAAUGGUAGAUGGUAUUUGACCUGAAAGUUAGUACGAGACCUUCAAAUUUAUUACUUGAAAGACAGAAAGAGCGUACGUUGUACGCAUAAUUAAUGUUAUUUUAUUUGAUAAAAUAAAAAUAUAAAUAUAAUAUUUAUUAUAUUUAAUUUUUCAAUUAACAAUUUGGUCUAUUUAGUCAUACAAUAAUUUUUUUUAGAAAAUCUAUUAGUUUAUUACUUCUACUAAAUACUCCCUCCGUCCCACUAUAAGUGGCUCAAAACUUUUGGACACGUGAAUUAAGGAGAAUAAUUUAUUUGAUAGAUAUAUUUAUUUAUAAGCCUUAUCAACAACUAUAGAUAUAUAUCACAUAGUUUUAGUAUAAUAUCUGAUGAAUUAAUAUAUUUUUAUAAAUAUACAAUAUGUAAAAUAACUUUAAAAUAAAACAUAUAAUAAGUGUAAAAUAGAGACAAUCCACACGUUGUGUGUUGUGUCCAAAGCUCUUUUUAUAUUAGUAUAGAUGUAUUGCAUUCUUUUUAAACAUAGUAUAAUUAAAGAAGAUCAAAUGAAAUAAGAGAAAAAUAAAUUAACUCGUAAGCUAGCUUGAGGAGCUAAACUUGUGGCUAGGUGAAUAAUAAAUCAUACCACUUAAUCUAUUAUAGUCGAGGUAUAAGUUCAUAAGAGCUGUCAUGUUCCCCACUUCUCUCGGGAUUGAUCCGCUAAGUUUGUUGGAACCCAAGUGCAUGAUCUGUAAACUAUGAAGAUUUCCAAUCUCUUUCGGCAUAGUACCUGGAGAAUAAUCCCACAAGACAAUGUAUGACCCCUACCAACUUCAAGACAACAUACCACUUAAUUAAAGAAGAUCAAAUGAAAUAAGAGAAAAAGAAUUAACUCGCAAGCUAGCUUGAGGAGCUAAACUUGUGGCUAGGUGAUAAUAAAUUAUACCACUUAAACUAUUAUUGCUGAGGUAUAAGCUGAUAAGAGCUGUCAUGUUCCCCACUUCUCUCGGGAUUGAUCCGCUAAGUUCGUUGGAAUCCAACCACAUGUCCUGCAAAUUAUGAAGAUUUCCAAUCUCUUUCGGAAUAGUACCUGGAGAAUAAUGAAGUCAUCAAAGUCAAGUUCCAUAUUGUUAAGUAUAACGAUCAUAACAAUAAUAAGUAAAAACAUGUGAUUUGAUCGGAUGUGAGAUUGAGCUGUAUACUAUUUAAGUAUAAUGAUAUUUAUUCCACUAAUCAAUGGAAGACUGAACAAUAUAGAUUUGAGAAGAACAUAGCUGUAAAAUGCUAUAUGGAAAAGUCAAAUAUACAUGAAAAUUAAGAAACAUUUGAAUAUGUGUAAAACUCUAAGAAAGUUAGAAAUCUUACCGGUUAAAGCAUUUUUUUGAAGGUAUAAAAACUCUAGUACUGCUUUCAUGUUCCAAAUUUCUGAAGGCAAUACCCCAUUGAGUGUGUUACUUGAUAAGUCAAUCAAUGUCAAGGAAAACAUGUUGAAAAUGGUUGGUGGCAAAGUGCCUGACAACUUGUUCCAACUCAGGUCCAACACUGCUAAAUUAUGAAGAUGAUGAAUCUCUUCUGGAAUAACUCCUUCACAUAUCCAAAUAAUCACAAAAGGUUAGUCUAGCUAAUUCUAGAUUGAAACGUAUAGGGAAAAUAUUACUUUAUCACCCGAUAUAAAGUUUAAAUUUGACCCUCAAACGCAAAGCACAUAAAUCAAAAAAUUAAAUAAUAUGGCAUUAAAUGCAUGAUUUGACCUCAUAUAUAUAGGAAUCAACUUACCAGUCAACUUAUUUUGUCACACCCCAAUUCUUGAAACAAUAACUAUAACUGGGGUACGACUAAUCAUUAAAAUGAACAAGGGAAAAACCUUGUGAAAUCCGAAUUGAAGGGAUAACAAUCGGGCAUCGCCCCUUUAGAUGAAGAAAGACAGGUAUCCAAUUGAUACAAAUCAAUCAACAAACAUGACAAACGUCAGGAUCACAAGUUUAGUUUCAUGCUUCAGAUAACCAACAUUCCUUAAUCAAAAUACUUGAGAGUCAAAAGUCUAGGCUCAACAAAAGAUAUCGUUUCGAGUCAUAUCAUAAAGGUCUUAAGUCAGGAGAACGAAAGACAGAUAAAGGCUAGUACUACAACGGAAGUCAAAACACGGAGUUGAACCCUAGCCUCAGCUCUCCCCGUCAACGCCAUCCAUCAACCUGAAAAACAUUUGAAAAUAUUUGGGCUAAGUACUAAUGUACUUAGUGGGCUGCAACUUUUAAAACAUUUCACAAUUCGUAAGAGCAGUUUAUCCAAUUAUUCAUAACAUAACUUAGAAGGUUUUAAAGUAAAGGAACUUCUAAGCAUGUUAAAAUAUUUCAUUUUAUUAGCGCGCUGUUGUCACACUUUGUUCUGUUACUCGCUGUGAUCCCGGACCUUUUAGCCACCGACGGAUCCCUCAUUCCCAUGAUACUUGCCCUGAGGACGUAACUCAGACAAGUUGAAUUGACCUCGGGACGCUACCCAGGCAGGCCUUACAUGAUACAUGCUCCGAAACACAUCCAGCCGAGCACCCUUAUAACGCCUCUUGCAUAAAUUAGUGCCCGAUGAAGAUCAACCCACCGAAAUAACUAACAAGUGUACACAAUUCUCAAAUAACGUGUUAGGCCAUAAGAGAACCUCGAUCGAUCCAUGAAUUGCGAGCCUUAAACAUAACAGAGUGCACAAAAAACAUUUAUUGGAUAAACAGUUUUCAUUUCAUGAAAUAUUUAGAGCUUAAUAACUUAAUCAUACAUUUGGAAAGUAAGCCCACCUGAUUAUAGCUCUAGUUGUGGUGCAGUAGCUCUCGUCUAGGUAUUACUCUCGCGCUUGACCUUUAUUGCGAGAAUUUAAAAUAAGAUAUUUGCUCGAAGAGAAUCCUCGAUAAAUGAGAAUGCGAAAAUAAAUAUGCAUGACUCUCUUAUGCAAGAUUCAUUAUUCUAGAUGAUAAUGGGGAAAAUUCUACUAUAAAUCCCAACUAUCGAAUUGAUUAAGUAAGAUAACUAACUGAAGCUCGUCUCGUACGAUCGGAUAAAUAACUAUGAUUAAUCAGUUCAUCUUAGGGUGUUCUAACUUACAUGAGGAUUAAAAGAUCUCGCUCUAUUUAAUCAAUUGAAAGAAAAUAGCGAAGUCGGCUCAUUCGCUUAGUAAUACCUUGAGUGUUUUGCUUUGUUGGCUGUCUGGUGUUGUUGGAUUAAAUGAAUUGAAAAAUUUGAAAUAUUCAAGGUUGUUGUUCCUCUUAAUCAAUGCAGGAGUAGAUGUGGAAGGAGUUGGAUGAAUUAAAGCUAAGUCUUACCUUGAAGUUGACAGAGCAAUGGGUAGGAGUUCUCCUGCUCUUCAGUGAUCUGAUUUCUUUAGUGAAGAAUGAAGAGGUGAAGAGAUCGCUUGGCAGAUAUUGAGAGAGGGUGUUGGCUGCACUCUUGAGUGUGCUAGGGAGGUGGUAGGAGGAGUAGGGAGAAGGGGAUUGGGAGGUUGGGUGUGCUAAGGAAUAGGUGGUAGGGUGUAGGGAAAAGGGGAUUGGUGGAGUUCGGCGGCUGGCAGUUGUGCUGUUACAGCUACACGCACCCCCCCCCCCCCCCCCUUCCCUUUUUUUCUCCUUUGCUUCCUUGUUGGUUGAUGGUCUUAAACAAAAGAAUGGUGUUGCAUUUGAUGUGUAGUAAUGUGGGAUAUGGCUAAAGUAAAACUCUUGUCUUUUGGGAAUUCUAAACUUGUAGUAUAGUAACGGGCUUAAUGAAAUACUAGUCUUGGAUUCUCACUAAUGUAGCGUGUAUAUAUAUAUAUAUAUACUCGCACGAUAUCUGAUUUCUUGCUUGCUAGCCUCGAUGGACUGUAAAAUAAAUUUAAAUUAAAUCCGUAGAUUUAAUCUGUUUGCUCAUCUUAUAUCUAAAUUAAAUCCGAAGAUUUAAUUCUCCUCACAAGCUGGAAUAAAUUCACGACUUAAGCAAGUGCAAAAAUAAUAACAAGUAAUAAUAUAAAUAAUAUUUCUAUGGCACUUAAUAAAUAACAUGACUUCGCUAAGUCAGUUAUAAUUCUGAAAUAAUAAAAAUAAUAACGAUUGACUGGCUCAAUAAUCCAUCUCGCGAUUUCUCACGUGAAAUAAAAUAGUAACUCUGCUUCAAGUACUAUAUAACUCAUAGUCAUAAGUCGAAAUUAAUCAAAGAUCAACACUGAAAGAUGCAAUAAUUAAUUAUUGCAUUACUGGUUUUAAUAAAUUAAAAGAGCGGGUUAUUACAUAUUUGCACUAAGGUCCAACGUUUGAGAAGAAGUUAAAGGUCCGUUUUGAAGUUCUAAAAUAGAUAGCGGUUAAUAUUAUAAAUUAAUAUUAUUGAAAUAUUACAAUUAUGAAUACUAUUUUAACUUUUUACAAUAUGAACUUAUUGUUGAAUCAUAUUCACCUUGAUCAUCAUUAGGAUCUCCUGUAAUAUCAACCAAAAUGACUUAGAUCCAUUUAUUUAAUUUAAAUAUUCUCUCUUUGUUCUUACUCAUUAUAACUUGAUUUAAUUGUAAUUCCUAAUAAAAUUAAGAAAAUACUUUAUAAACUAUAAAGUUGUUAAUUUAUCGAUAUAUUAAUAAUUUAUUAAAUGAAAUAAGAGAAAAAGAAAUAACUCGCAAGCUAGCUUGCGGAGCUAAACUUGUGGCUAGGUGAAUAAUAAUUCAUACCACUUAAUAAUUGGAAGACAAAGAACAAUAUAUAGAUUUGAGAAGAAAAUCUCUUGUGGAAUAACUCCUACAAAUAUAUAUCCAAUUCACACAAUAUAAUAUCUUUUACCUGAAUAAAUCACACAAAACGUUGCUAGAGCAAAAGUAGGACAAAAAGGGAUAAACUUGUGGUUAGCUAAAUAAUAAAUCAUACCACUUAAAGUAUUAUCGUAGAGGUAUAAUCCGACAAGAGCUGUAAUGUUCCCCACUUCUCUUGGGAUUGAUCCACUAAAUUUGUUAGAAUACAUCCACAAUGCCUCUAAAUUAUUAAGAUGGCCAAUCUCUUUCGGAAUAGUACCUGGAGGAAAAGUUAAAUAAAUGUUAAAAAUGUGUGAGCGACAAAGAGUUCUAAUAUUCCAAAUUUGUGUGUGCAAAGCUCCACUAAGUUUGUGGGAAUCCCAAAAAAAAGAAAUUAACUCGCAAGCUAGCCUGCGGAGCUAAACUUGUGGCUAGGUGAUAAUAAAUCAUACCACUUAAACUAUUAAUCUCGAGGUGUAAGAUGCCCAGAGCUGUCAUGUUCCCCACUUCUCUCGGAAUUGAUCCGCUAAGUUCAUUGGAAUGCAACCACAUGUACUGCAAAUUAUGAAGAUUUCCGAUGUCUUUCGGAAUAGUACCUGGAGAACAAUGAAGUCAUCAAAGUCAAGUUCCAUAUUGUUAACUAUAAUGAUCAUAACAAUAAUAAAUAAAAUACGCGAUUCUAUCGGUUGGGAGAUUGAGGUGUAUACUAUUUUAAGUAUAAUGAUAUUUAUUCCACUAAUCAACGGAAGACAAAGAUCAAUAUAGUUUUGAGAAGAACAUAGCUGUAAAUGUUGUAUGGAAAAGUCAGAUAUAGAUUUGAUGAGAAGAAUUUAAAGCUCUCACAAUGGCUGCACAUGCUAAAUAUACAUGAAAAUUAAGAAAUAUUUGAAUAUGUGUAAAACUCCACAUGAGUUAGAAAUCUUACCGGUUAAAGCAUUGUUUUGAAGGUAUAAAUGCUGUAGUGCUUUCAUGUUCCCAAUUUCUGAAGGCAAAGUGCCUGACAACUUGUUCAAACUCAAGUCCAACUCUCGUAAAUUAUCAAGAUGAUGAAUCUCUUGUGGAAUAACUCCUUCACAUAUCCAAAUAAUCACAAAAAGUUAGUCUAGCUAAUUCUAGAUUGAAACGUAUAGGGAAAAUAAUACUUUAUCACUCGAUAUAAAAUUUAAAUUUGACCCUCAAAUGCAAAGCACAUAAAUCAAAAAAUUAAAUAAUAUGGCAUUAAAUGCAUGAUUUGACCUCAUAUAUAUAGGAAUCAACUUACCAGUCAACUGAUUUUCACCAAGGUUCAACACUUUAUGAAGCUUGGUCAAGUUCCCAAUUUCUCUUGGCACAAAUCCACUGAAAUUGUUGUGGUACAAAGAAAGAUACUCAAGCUGUGAACACUGCCCCAAACUCGAUGGUAUUUUCCCAUACAACUCAUUGAAAGAUAUACUAAGCCUCUUGAGUCUAUGCAGAUUGUGUAUGCACAUAUCAAGAGGUAAACUACUAGACAAACUAUUACUCCUUAGUUCCAAAACUUCUAGAAAUGACAUGUUGAAGAUAGAUGGGGGAAUGGGGCCAUGAAAAGAGUUACGAUUCGCAUAAAAAGAGACAAGGAAAGAAAGAUUUCCAAUUUCUGGCGGGAGGGUUCCGACAAGACCCAUGUACGAUAUAUUCAACUGAGUAACCCUAUUGUAAUGUGAAUCACAAGUAACUCCGAUCCAACUACAAACACUGGCUUCAGUGCUCCAAUUUUGGGUCAAUAUAUUUUGAGGAUCUAAAGUGAUUUGAGAUUUCAAGGCAAGAAGUGAAGAACGAUCGGUGUUGAUAUCGUGUUUGGCUGAGCUAGAAUCCAUCAAAUAAUGGAUUGGUAAGAGUAGUGCAAGGAUGAGAAAAUGGGGAGAUUUUUGCAUUUUUUGGCUUGAUUUUGACAGUAGUAAUUUUUUAGAAUAUUGAACUAUGAAAUCUAUAGACGUGUAUAUAUAGAGUGUGUGUGGAUAUGAUGGGCAAAUGGGAAGGAUUAAUGAUGAAAGUAGGAAAUGCAGAGUUUCCUUUUAUCAAAGCUAAAAUAAUAUUUUCCCAUUGGAAAAGACGAAGAAAAUAAUUGUGGAACUAUAAAGAGUGAUUUUUGGAGGCAAAAGCAACUAAGACUAACCCAAAUCUUAAAAAAUGACCCUAAUAUUCAUAUUAAAAUAGCAUUAUAAGUUUUGGUCGUGAUCAGAGGGCUACGUCAGUUGAAUAAACAACAAAACAUGUUUGUUUAUUUGAAGUGGUAGAAUAACAUUCAAAAGUAGAAGAUAUUCUCUAUUUUUAUAAUAGAUUUGGGAGACUUUAAAUCCCCCUUUUUUUGAUCUUUGAAUAAGAUAUAAUAAAGGGUAAUUCACACUUCGCAAUCUAAAACCAAGCUCUACGCAAUUGCCCCCUUAAAAUAGAGCAAUUGUUGCAAUUUGAAUUCGAGUUAUUUUGAAUAAUAAUAAUAAUAAUAAUAAGCUCUUGGUAACGACGAAAUUUAUUCAAAUUCAAACUAUUAUUCCAUAGAUCCAAAACCUCUAGUGACGACAUGUUGAAGAUAGAUGGGGGAAUGGGGCCAUGAAAGUAGUUCCCGUUCGCUACUAAAGAAACGAGAGAAGAAAGAUUCCCAAUUUCUGGUGGGAGGGUUCCGACAAGACCCAUGUCCGAUAUAUUCAACUGAGUCACCCUAUUGUAAUGUGAAUCACAAGUAACUCCGAUCCAACUACAAACACUGGCUUUAGUGCUCCAAUUUCCAAGUCAUUAAAAGUAAAGUUAACUUUAUAUUUAACUUUACCAAUAAUGAACUUUGACUCAGGCAAAAGACCAAAUAUGUAUCACAAAUAUUUCUCAAGUGGAAUGCUGCCUCACAAGUACAUCUUAAAAGAAAAAAAGUUAACCUUUAACAAAUAUUUAAACAACAAUAAUUAUAAAAUUAAAACAAUUCAAGCAAAAAAAAUUUAUAAAUUUCAAUUUAAAGAUAAAGAAAAAUUGAAUCUUGAUUUUUAUAUAUCCACUAUAAAAACCUAACAAAUCCAAAAAAAAAAAAUCAACCUUACAAUAAAAAAUAAAUAUAUCAACUAAAAUAAAAUAACAUAAUAUAAUUUUAUUAUAAUUAUCAUUAAAUAAUACUCCACUACUAAUAAAAAAUAAAGGGUUUUUGUUAAAAUGUAGGCUUGUGUUUAGGUUUCCAAUAUUGGUAGAUGGUAUUGGACCUGAGUAACAUAAAAUAUUAACAAUUAGCAAUGUUAGUCCUCAUACACAGUGCAAAGGAACAUGUUUCUCUGUUUGUCAUCACUGUGGUCUGUGAUAACCACCAUAUGAAGUUUAUGGAACGAGCAAUUAAGAUGCUAAUCUUAAUAGGUUUCCAAUAUUGGUAGAUGGUAUUGGACCUGAGUAACAUAAAAUAAUUAACAAAAUUAAGCAAUGUUAGUCCUCUUUCACAGUGCAAAGGAACAUUUUUCUCUUUGCAUGUCCAGAACCUAAUAUUCUUUAACAAUAAAACUAUAUAGAAUUCCAUCACAUAAAGAUGAGAAAAAAUCUGUGAUAACCACACAAGUCAUGAAGUUUCUGAAAACGAACAAUCAAAUCCCUAAUCAUAAUUCUCUGUCUUUCUUUGUCUUCGCGUGUAGCAUUUUUGCUCGAGUAAAAUUAUUAGUCAUAAUUAAAACUUCACAUAUUCGAAGAUACAACAACAUUUCAUAAUCUCUGAAGUUGAAAUCGAGCACAAACACACUAAGUAGCAAUUAAAAAAGUAAAAAAGAAAAAGAAUGUCCAAAAAAAAAAGAAGUAAGAAAGAAAGUUCGAAACGACUCGAGCAAGAUUUCCAAAUGAAGCACAAGUAAAGCACACAUAUUUGAUGUUUCACUUUUAUCUCAUUUUUAAUUUUAUUUAUUUUUUAUAUAUAUAUUUUUUCUAAUUUCAUUAUGCUGUAAUAAUUUUUUCUAAUUUCUUAUAUAUUUUUCCUCCAAUUUCAACUUUGUAUGUUUUAAUUUAAUUUUAUGAUUAUUAACUAGAGUUUAUACCAUCUAAUUAGGGUAGAAAAUUAUUUUUUAUUAUUUAAUAUCACUUUUAUUAGCUAACAAUAAGUUGAUUAAUUAAAAGUUAUGGUAUAUAAUAUUUUAAAAUUAUUUUUUUGAAAUUAAGUAUAAUUCAUAGUAUUAUACUAAUAAAUUUUAUUUUUAUAACGAUUUGAUAUAACGCCACAUUAUGACUAGAUCCAUUUUUAUUUAAAAAAUAAAUUAUCUAAAUUGUAAAUACAACAAUAAAAUAACUAAAUCUUUUUUUAUUUAAAAAUAAUUUUUUUUAAAAUCCUAUUUAAUUAGUUUAUGGCUGCAGAGAUUUAUUGAACACAUAAAGCAUCUAUUAAUCUAUUGAGUGCAUAAUUUUUUUUAUGUAAAUAAAAAAAUUUAAAAACUAAGUCACAGUAGACUCGAAUCCAGGACCCCUGACAUUGGACAUUAAUCACCCUACUGUUAACCCAACACAAACAUUUGUGGGAACUUUUAGUAUAACUUUCAUUUGUUCUAGCAAGUGGAUAACUUUCAAAAAUUUCAAAUUAAAGAAAAACUCUACCAAUUCACGACCUAAAAGAUUAACGAAAAACUAUCACUAGGAUCAAUCGAAUGAGAUAUUCUAUGCUAUAAUUUAGUGUGUACCACCAUGCACUAGGACACCUAAAAGUUAACAAUAAAUCCGAGUUUAAAAUUAUUUAAGGCAACUAUCUUAGGGCGAUUUGCAAAAAUAAGGCCAAUAUUUUUCGGACUUGCAAAAAUAAGCCAAUUAUUUUANCCAACAAAUAGGCCCGUCAUCCGCUAUGUCUCUGGCGACACCCAGGGACGGAGUCAGGAAUUAAGUUCGGGGGGGCUGAACGCCCCCGAGAAUUUUUUUUUUGGGCAUUCUAUACAUUUAAGGUAUUUUUUUUAUUAAAAUACGAGCAUAAUACUAAUACUAAUAAUAACGAACAAUAUUUUCAUAGAUUAUAUAGUUUCAAUAAACUUUUUUUGGACAUUCCGUAUAUUUAAGACAUUUUUUAUUAAAAGGAAAGCAUAAUAAUAAUAAUAACAAACAACAUGUUCAUAGAUUAUAUAUUUUCUAUAUAUUACAAAUUAGUUUCAAAUACUCUUUUAUAGUUUUAAAUAACAUAAUUAUCCUUAAAUUAAGUAUAUAUGAGAGAAUAUAAUAACUAAAUACUCUUUUAUAAAACAAAAUUAUUUUAUAAUAGGUAUAAACAUAUAUCUAAAAAUAAAAAAAAUAAAAAAACUCAAAAUUUGGGAGGGGGCUCUAGCCCCCCUGGCUCCGUCCCUGGCGACACCGCUGCGUUCACCGUCGUUGUCUCCGACUGUGACUUCUCAUUUACCUUUACCCACUCCCUAAACAAUAGUAUAUUUUGUUGGGCAAUGGUAAGAUCUUGGAUUCAGGGUUGACAAAGACUUCUCAUUCAGAGAGAGAGUGAAAAUUGUGUCUGUGUGUGUUGGAAUUUAGGGCAAAAAUGCUUAUCUAGGGUUUUAGUAUUUUAGGAGAAAUGCUUAGUUGGAAUACUUAUCUUAUGUGGCGCUCAUGUCACUCUUUAAACUUAACACCUGGAUUGAAUUGCACCACAUAGGAUCUGACUUAUUUCGUUGAUGGCCAGAAAUCGAACGCAGGGGAAAUUUCCUAUCGAUUUUCCAAUUCAUGGAUUUUAAAUCAGAUUUUUUUUGUCAUGGGAAAAAAUCAAAAACUGGAAAAGUAUGUGGAUUUAGCGGAUUAAUCCUAUUAAUUAUGUGUACAAUAUACGCUCUUUCUGCUAGCUAAAACUGCACAUACCAACACCGACUAUUUUACUCUAUAUUAGCAUAUGUAUGUUAUUUGAACUAGACAUCUACAUUGGUAUCCAUAAGGAAUGAGACCACUAAACUAAUUUUCAUUUAAAUGAAAGAUGACCAAAGAGCUCAAGUUUCCAAAGUAUUUUGGGAUUGUUCCUUCCAAACUAUUAUUUGAGAGAACAAGAAUCUAAAGAGAUGUCAUAUUACAAUGGAGGAUGGAAGCUCACCGAUUAAUUUGUUGAAAGAGAGUUCUAGAAUUCUCAAUUGUAGAUGGUAUUUGGCAUGAAAGUUGGUGCGACACCUUUAGAUAUAUAUUAUUUGAAAGAGAGAAAAUGAUAUGAAUCAAAUAUCUUUAUAUCUAAAAAUGCACAAACACUACGCCAAAAACGCGCAUACAUAACGAAUUUUAUCCGUUAUCUAUACGGAAAAUCUUGCGUUAAGUAUAGUGGUGUUAUGUAUGCGGCGCGCAUAGAUAACAGAUAUUUAUGCGUUAUUUAUACUAUUAUACAUAACGGUUAUCCAUAAAUAAAUAACGCCUGAAAAUCCGUUAUCUAUAGGCCUUUUACAUAACGUUUCAGACCGUUAUGAAAGUUUAUAUUUCUCCGUUAUCUAUAUCGAUAUACAUAACCGUAGUUUUGAAAUAAAUAACAUUGGAAUUUCCGUUAUUAAAACAGCCAUAUAUAACGAUUUCGCAUAACGGUUCGGGCUUAGCGUUAUGUAUCCAUGUUCUUACAUAACAGUUUCCGUAACGGUAGAAAUAACCGUUAUAAUAAACGCACAUAUAUAACGCUUUUCAUAACGGAUCCGGGGUACCGUUAUCUUUGUGACCAAUAGUUAACGCUAAUACAUAACGCAGUACUUAAAACCGUUAUCUAUGCACAUACCUAACAGUACAUAGAUAACGGUUUUUUCGAAAACUGUUAUCUAUUAUAAAAAAAGCGCACAUAGAUAACGGUUUUUGAACNNNNNNNNNNNNNNNNNNNNNNNNNNNNNNNNNNNNNNNNNNNNNNNNNNNNNNNNNNNNNNNNNNNNNNNNNNNNNNNNNNNNNNNNNNNNNNNNNNNNNNNNNNNNNNNNNNNNNNNNNNNNNNNNNNNNNNNNNNNNNNNNNNNNNNNNNNNNNNNNNNNNNNNNNNNNNNNNNNNNNNNNNNNNNNNNNNNNNNNNNNNNNNNNNNNNNNNNNNNNNNNNNNNNNNNNNNNNNNNNNNNNNNNNNNNNNNNNNNNNNNNNNNNNNNNNNNNNNNNNNNNNNNNNNNNNNNNNNNNNNNNNNNNNNNNNNNNNNNNNNNNNNNNNNNNNNNNNNNNNNNNNNNNNNNNNNNNNNNNNNNNNNNNNNNNNNNNNNNNNNNNNNNNNNNNNNNNNNNNNNNNNNNNNNNNNNNNNNNNNNNNNNNNNNNNNNNNNNNNNNNNNNNNNNNNNNNNNNNNNNNNNNNNNNNNNNNNNNNNNNNNNNNNNNNNNNNNNNNNNNNNNNNNNNNNNNNNNNNNNNNNNNNNNNNNNNNNNNNNNNNNNNNNNNNNNNNNNNNNNNNNNNNNNNNNNNNNNNNNNNNNNNNNNNNNNNNNNNNNNNNNNNNNNNNNNNNNNNNNNNNNNNNNNNNNNNNNNNNNNNNNNNNNNNNNNNNNNNNNNNNNNNNNNNNNNNNNNNNNNNNNNNNNNNNNNNNNNNNNNNNNNNNNNNNNNNNNNNNNNNNNNNNNNNNNNNNNNNNNNNNNNNNNNNNNNNNNNNNNNNNNNNNNNNNNNNNNNNNNNNNNNNNNNNNNNNNNNNNNNNNNNNNNNNNNNNNNNNNNNNNNNNNNNNNNNNNNNNNNNNNNNNNNNNNNNNNNNNNNNNNNNNNNNNNNNNNNNNNNNNNNNNNNNNNNNNNNNNNNNNNNNNNNNNNNNNNNNNNNNNNNNNNNNNNNNNNNNNNNNNNNNNNNNNNNNNNNNNNNNNNNNNNNNNNNNNNNNNNNNNNNNNNNNNNNNNNNNNNNNNNNNNNNNNNNNNNNNNNNNNNNNNNNNNNNNNNNNNNNNNNNNNNNNNNNNNNNNNNNNNNNNNNNNNNNNNNNNNNNNNNNNNNNNNNNNNNNNNNNNNNNNNNNNNNNNNNNNNNNNNNNNNNNNNNNNNNNNNNNNNNNNNNNNNNNNNNNNNNNNNNNNNNNNNNNNNNNNNNNNNNNNNNNNNNNNNNNNNNNNNNNNNNNNNNNNNNNNNNNNNNNNNNNNNNNNNNNNNNNNNNNNNNNNNNNNNNNNNNNNNNNNNNNNNNNNNNNNNNNNNNNNNNNNNNNNNNNNNNNNNNNNNNNNNNNNNNNNNNNNNNNNNNNNNNNNNNNNNNNNNNNNNNNNNNNNNNNAAUAGAAUUCAAGGUUUAUUUAUAAAUUAUGGAGUAUUUUUUAAUUUUGUUUAUCUUUUAAUUAUUUUAUUUUAUUUCUUUCUAAAAUUGUAAAAUUCGGCUAAUUAUAAAAUAUGUAAUAUGUAUAUCAAAUUAAAGAUCACAAUAAGAACUUUAAUUUGACAUAUUUUAUGUAAAUAUUUGAUUUGAAUUGUAAAAGUUAUAUUUACUUAAAGAUUAAAUUUUUUUAAAAAUUCUAUCUCCUCUCUCAUUUUUUUAGGCCCGUAAUUUUGGUCAUUUUGCAAAUAUAGGACAAAAAUUUUUGGGCUUGCAAUUGCAGGACAAAUUGAUUUUUCGGGCUUAAUUUGUCCUAUUUAUACUGAAUUUUUGAAAAUUUGUCAUAUAAUUGCAAGCCAAANAAAAAUUGUUCUAUAUUUACAAAACAUCUAAAGUUACGGGCAUAAAAAAACUUUGGGCUCACUUCAAGACAACAUACCACUUAAAGAAGAUCAAAUGAUGUAUUUAUAGAAGAAAAUAAAAAGAUCAAAUGAUGUAAGUUGGGGGUUCGAAUCAUCCAGCAAGGAUGUGUGUGAGUUAUAACUCAAAGCAAAAUAAAACCUUUAUCAACAAAUCACAUCCUUACAGUUGUAUGCGUUAUUGUACAUACAAUUAACCUGAGAUAAAUUUUAAAUUUGACCCUCAAACGCAAAGUACAUAAUAAAUUAAAGAAUUAAAUAAUAUGGCAUUAAAUGCAUGAUUUGACCUCAUAAAUAUAGGAAUCAACUUACCAGUCAACUGAUUUUCACCAAGGUACAAGAAUUGAAGUUUCGUCAAGCUCCCUAUUUCUGUCGGCACAAAUCCAGUGAAAGUGUUUUUCACCAAAGAAAGAUACUUAAGCUGUGAACACUUCUCCAAACUCGAUGGUAUUUCCCCAUACAUCUCGUUGUAAGAGAUUCGAAGCCUCUUGAGUCUAUGCAGAUUGUGUUUGCACAUAUCAAGAGGUAAACUACUAGACAAACUAUUAUUCCUUACUUCCAAAACUUCUAGAAAUGACAUGUUGAAGAUAGAUGGGGGAAUGGGGCCAUGAAAGGAGUUUUCGUUCGCUUCUAAAGAAACGAGAGAAGAAAGAUUCCCGAUUUCUGGUGGAAGGGUUCCGACAAGACCCAUGUACGAUAUGUUCAACUGAGUAACCCUAUUGUAACGUGAAUCACAAGUAACUCCGAUCCAACUGCAAACACUGGCUUCGGUGCUCCAAUUUUGGGUCAAUAUAUUUUGAGGAUCUAAAGUGAUUUGGGAUUUUAAGGCGAGAAGGGAAGAACGAUCGGUGUUGAUAUCGGUUUUGGCUGAGCUAUAAUCCAUCAAAUAAUGGAUUGGUAAGAGUAGUGCAAGGAUGAGAAAAUGGGGAGAUUUUGGCAUUUUUGGCUUGAUUUUGACAGUAGUAGUUUUUUAGAAUAUUGAACUAUGAAAUCCAUAUACAUGUAUAUAUAGAGUGUGUGUGGAUAUGAUGGGCAAAUGGGAAGGAUUAAUGAUGAAAGUAGGAAAUGCAGAGUUUCCUUUUAUUCAAAGCUAAAAUAAUAUUUUCCCAUUGGAAAGACGAAGACGGAGAAAAUAAUUAAUUGGAGUGUGAAUGAGGAAAAGACGAAGAAAAUAAUUGUGGAACUAUAAAGAGUGAUUUUUGGAGGCAAAAGCAACUAAGACUAUUUAUAUGGAAAGCUACUUUCUGUUCGAUUUGGGAGAUUGAGUCUAACCCAAAUCUUAAAAAAUGACCCUAAAAUUCAUAUUAAAAUAGCAUUAUAAGUUUUGGCCGUGAUCAGAGGGCUACGUCAGUUGAAUAAACAACAAAACCUGUUUGUUUAUUUGAAGUGGUAGAAUAACAUGCAAAAGUAGAAGAUAUUCUCUAUUUUUAUAAUAGAUUUGGGAGACUUUAAAUCCCCCUUUUUGUGAUCUUUGAAUAAGAUAUAAUAAAGGGUAAUUCACACUUCGCAAUCUAAAACCAAGCUCCACGCAAUUGCCCCCUGAAAAUAGAGCAAUUGUUGCAAUUUGAAUUCGAGUCAUUUUGAGUAAUAAUAAUAAUAAUAAUAAUAAUAAUAAUAAUAAUAAUAAGCUCUUGGUAACGAGGAAGUGUAUUCAAAUUCAAAUAAUUUUAUCAAAAACACCAGUAAAUUCUUACAUAAAUUAAUUUGUAAGAAUUUUUCAUACGGGUUGAACUCUAAAAUUUCUACGUGCAUCUUAUGUUAAUUCGGUUCUCAACCUUACUUUGUGUGUCGUAAAAGUAUUAUUGAAAAUACAUGUAUAUUGUGGGAUCAAUUCAGGAAGAUCAUGAUAAACCAUUCCUUGUGCUUGUAAAGAAUAAACUCUUCGUCUUACAGAUGCGAGUUCUUUAUCCAAUUUUAUACUGAACGAAGUAAAUGACAAUAUUCUAUUAUAAGCACGAAUAUCCCUUCUUAAACUAAAAGCUUCUUCUGAUUGAGAUGUAAAUAAUUCAUCUAAAUGUAUCAAUCAAUAAAACAAUUAGGUCACAUAUUUUAGACUAGUGUUUCAUUAUACUCACUGAAUUAAUAAAUUUGCUAUGCUAUCGAAAUAAAACAUAAUUAAAUUGAACAAAGAAAGCAUAACUAACAAUCUACUAAAUUGAAAUGAGUUUUGGGCUUAGGGAUAUUUAAUAUGGGCUUCUAUAAUUGGGCUGAACACUUUCUUUUCUUGGACUUUAAAUAGUGAACUUGAUUUUUGGCAUAAAUGGGCUCAAAUAUACUUUUAUAUAUUUAAGUAUUGAAACAUGCUUUAUUAGUUAAAAAUUUUGAGCUAAGUUCCACAAGAAGAAAGUAUACAUAUUUUAGUAUUUUAUUUAUUUAUUAGGCUCAUGACUUUGGGUUAGUGCUAUAGAACAAUUCUUAAAAUUAUUUAAAUUAUCUUAAAAAAAAGCUUGAUUACAUCUAUUAUCUGAAUUUAUCUGACUAGGUACGGCGUGACUAGAACGUAACUGUUGAUGUGAAUUACUCAAGUUAUUAAUCAAGUACAAAAUUUUCAGUGUGAGAUUUUAUUUUAAUACAUGUUGUGGUGCUUGUGUCUUGAAAAUAACCUUUUAUUUGGCAUCAAAGAAUUUUGCACCUCGGUGAGAUUGAACUGUGCAUCCUCUGCACGUUCUCUCCUUUUUUAUGGUCCAUACUACCAAUAUCCAAUCCCAGUAGGGGAUGAUUUCAAGUUGCUUGGAAAACUAGAUGUUCUUAAUAUGCGUUUGUACACUUUCCCUACAGAGAUUCUGACACUAGUCCUACUAAAGUACCUUGCUCUAACUUGCAACGGAGAACUCCCAACAACUAUAUCCAAACUUUUCAACCUUCGUGUCUUGAUUGUCCAUCCGCAUAGCAACAUUAGAAUUUGUAGAGCUCCAUCGUAUGUACCAAUACAAAUAUGGGAUAUGAAAGAGUUAGAGCAUAUUGAGAUAUUGGGGAAGAGCCUUGUAGCUCCAUCUCAUUCUGCUUCUUUGGAAAUUCUCUCAACACUUGUAGGUGUGAAUGCCAACACUUGCACUAUCCUGGAGCUUUCCAGAAAAGUUCCUUGCAUAAGGAAAUUUGGAGUUCAAAUCGAGCUAACCCCUUACGACGAGCAUGAUGACCUUAUCAAUUGCUUUGGUUGUGUUUCAACACUUGAAAGUUUGAAGACACUGAAAUGUAGCAUCAUAAAUCCUGUGGUUAAGUACGAUUAUGCGUUUCCUAGUUCAUCGAUGAUGUUUCCAAGUGGAUUGAGAAAGUUACACUUGAGUGGCAUGGGUUUUCCUUGGGAAUACAUGGAUGUAAUUGGCUCUUUGCCAUAUCUUAAAGUGCUCAAAUUGCGAGCCUACGCCUUUCUGGGUUCAAAGUGGGAAGCGCGAGAUAGAAGUUUUCAGAAACUUGAGUUUCUUCUAAUUGAAGACAGUGAUUUGGUGCAAUGGAAACCAAGUUCUGGAAGCUUCCCUGAGCUUAGACACCUAAGCAUGAAACAUUGCUACAAACUAGAAGAGAUCCACUGGCUGUCUCAUUGUACAUGCGGAGGAAAUAUUGAGUUAGUGAAUUGCAAUCCUAAAGCUUUGAAUUGUGCUGAGCUAUUACAACCGUGUCCAAUGACUUGGGUUGAUGUUACCGCCACUUAUUCUUUUGACGAGAAACCCAUUACUAUCAUGUUUACGAGGUUAGUCUCGCAACUGCCCAUCAAUUCAUGUCCUACUCUUAAUAUAUAUUUCACGUUAAUAUUGCGUGAUCAUCCUGUGAAUAUUUAUAUAGUCUCACACACUAUACUAUCUAUAAAUUUUCAGGUAUGGGUCUAAAGAAGAGACAUGGAAAGGUGAGACACCAUAUUAAGAAUUGUGUACUUAUUUUGGUAUUGUGUUGAGGAUCAUAAGCUCUGACUGAAUUAUGUAUGGAAUGAAAACUGUAGUAGCUUUGUUUUGGUAUCACAUGUCGUCAUUAGGUUUAAUUAACUACUCCCUCCGUCCCAUGAAGCAAGACCAAGUUCUUUUCAGCACGGGAAUUAAGAAAUUGAUAUUUUGUGUGUUAAGCGUGGUUGGUGAAAAAGUGAAUAAAUAGUAAAUUUUUUGCUACUUUUAGAAACUGGUCUUGCUUCGUGGGACAGACCAAAAAGGAAACUUAGUCUUGCUUCAUGGGACGGAGGGAGUAUCAAUUAUGAUAAUAAUCAAAUGAGUGGAUAUUUUUGAAUCACAUUCUGUUUCUGGUUCUGUGAAUUUUGUCCAUCACUUUUUUUUGAGCAAUUGAAUUUGUGCCCAUCUUAGUAUGAGAAUUUCAUGAUACACCUAAAGAAUUUCAUGUGUUUGUUUUGGAUGAUAGUUUAGAUAUAAAAAGAAUUGAGUAAUUUUUCAGCUCGUGAUGCAGAUGUUGAUGAAGAUUCCUUCCGAGUUAGAGUUGUUCUGAGCUUGGGUCUGUGCUUAUACGAGCUCGACUCGUUUAUCGUACUUUUGCUGUUGGUUUCAUGGGGUUUACGGCACUAAGGUGGAUUCGAACCCAAGAUCUUUGGGUUUAGGCAUUAAUCAUUCUGCUGUUUGACCUACACACAUAACUUACCUCUUUUAGUUUGUGUUUGCUGGUGUUUAUGCAGCUUUGAUGAGUAUCUUAUUUUGUCUACAUAGAUGAUAAAGGAUUACUUAGCCUUGUCCAUGAGGACAUUUAUAAUUCUUUUGUGCGCCUUUCUUAGGCGGUCUCCGCUUGGGCAGCUUCUGCCGGCGUUUAGCCGGCGGCCAUCCCGUCAUUUGGGAUCUUUGCUCCCGUUCUUAUUUUUGGGAGCGAUUGGUGGUUGUUGCUGGAGCUUUUCCAGGGGCUUUUUACAACUUCUGGGUGCGCUCGGGGUUGGGCUCCGGAAAUGUUCUCUAUUGGUUGCUCCGCGGCGGAGAAGGCCCCUCGGCCUGUCUUCUGUCAGUGUCGAGUUGGUCCCUUUCUUUGGUGCUUCUUGUUUCUUGGAUUGUUUUUUGAGCCGAGGUUUCUUGGGGGCGAUGGUUAGGCCGAAGCCUCCGAAGAAUCCUCAACUUCGCUCUUUUUUGCUUGUCUUUUCGCGUUGUUCCUACGGGUACUCUCUUUUCCUACUUAGGGUUUCUCCCCCUUGAGUUUUCCCUUAGAAGGUUUUGACGAGGCCCAGCCCCUUUAUUUGUGUAUGUGCUCUCAAAGGAUUUUCGUUUCUUCUUUUGGCAAUAAAAUUCUAAUUCAGCAGGUAAAGGAAUAGAUUCUUUAUCAUCAAUAAAAAAUUACACAAACAAAGUAAAAAAUGUGUUUUAUCUAGAGAAUGUGAAAAAAUAAUAAUAAAUUAAUUUUCAGAAAAGACGUGUGAAUGUGUAUGUCUAGAAAACGGUGCUCAAAACUAUUUUGGUAUUUCUAUUAGAUAAAAGUUUGGAAUACCAAAAUGAUCAGAAAACACAAUUUAUAAUUGAAAAAACAUAAUUUGAUUUAUUUGGAAAAUUUUUAACAAUAUUAAGCGGCUAAUUAAAUCUAUUUACAAACUAUUUUAUUUUUAUACAUAUUAAGAUUUCAUGAUAAGCCUAAAUAAUUCACUUAUGAAGCACUCAAUACGAAGGUAUUAAUUAAUUUGUAUUGAUUGAAAUUAGAUUAUUAUUUUUAUAUAAAAAGAAAAAGGAAAAGUUUAAAACACUUACAAUCACAAGAAGCAAGCAAACUUGAAGCUGAGCCUUUAUUUUAAACCUUUCUGAUGUAAAAGGUAAAACAAAAAACAUAUGUAAAAAGAAAAGAAUAUACGUCUACAGAGCACAUAAAAGAUAGGGGGAGUGAUUUUUGGACACCAGGUAUCUUAGACACCUUUAUAAAAAAUCGGUUUUUUGUUAAUGUUUAAUUUGACUGAUUUUUUGUUAUUUAGUGAUUUGUCUAAAAUAUCAUUUUCAAAAAUAUAUUCAAAACAAAAAAUCAGUCAAGUUAAACAUCAAGUAAAAACCAAUUUUUUAUGAAAGUGUUUAAGACACCUCGUGUCCANAGCUUUGUUUUGGUAUCACAUGUCGUCAUUAGGUUUAAUUAACUACUCCCUCCGUCCCAUGAAGCAAGACCAAGUUCUUUUCCGCACGAGAAUUAAGAAAUUGAUAUUUUGUGUGUUAAGCGUGGUUGGUAAAAAAGUGAAUAAAGAGUAAAUUUUUUGCUACUUUUAGAAACUGGUCUUGCUUCGUGGGACAGACCAAAAGGAAACUUAGUCUUGCUUCGUGGGACAGACCAAAAAGAAAACUUAGUCUUGCUUCAUGGGACGGAGGGAGUAUCAAUUAUGAUAAUAAUCAAAUGAGUGGAUAUUUUUGAAUCACAUUCUGUUUCUGGUUCUGUGAAUUUUGUCCAUCACUUUUUUUUUAGCAAUUGAAUUUGUGCCCAUCUUAGUAUGAGAAUUUCACGAUACACCUAAAGAAUUUCAUGUGUUUGUUUUGGAUGAUAGUUUAGAUAUAAAAAGAAUUGAGUAAUUUUUCAGCUCGUGAUGCAGAUGUCGAUGAAGAUUCCUUCCGAGUUAGAGUUGUUCUGAGCUUGGGUCUGUGCUUAUACGAGCUCGACUCGUUUAUCGUACUUUUGCUGUUCGUUUCAUGGGGUUUACGGCACUAAGGUGGAUUCGAACCCAAGAUCUUUGGGUUUAGGCAUUAAUCAUUCUACUGUUUGACCUACACACAUAACUUACCUCUUUUAGUUUGUGUUUGCUGGUGUUUAUGCAGCUUUGAUGAGUAUCUUAUUUUGUCUACAUAAAUGAUAAAGGAUUACUUAGCCUCGUCUAUGAUCGAAGCUAAGUAAUCCAUGAGGACAUUUAUAAUUCUUUUGUGCGCGUUUCUUAGGCGGUCUCCGCUUGGGCAGCUUCUGCCGGCGUUCAGCCGGGUGGCCAUCCCGUCAUUUGGGGUCUUUGCUCCCGUUCUUAUUUUUGGGAGCGAUUGGUGGUUGUUGCUGGAGCUUUUCCAGGGGCUUUUUACAACUUCUGGGUGCGCUCGGGGUUGGGCUCCGGAAAUGUUCUCUAUUGGUUGCUCCGCGGCGGAGAAGGCCCCUCGGCCUGUCUUCUGUCGGUGUCGAGUUGGUCCCUUUCUUUGGUGCUUCUUGUUUCUUGGAUUGUUUUUUGAGCCGAGGUUUCUUGGGGGCGAUGGUUAGGCCGGAGCCUCCGAAGAAUCCUCAACUUCGCUCUUUUUUGCUUGUCUUUUCGCGUUGUUCCUACGGGUACUCUCUUUUCCUACUUAGGGUUUCUCCCCCUUGAGUUUUCCCUUAGAAGGUUUUAACGAGGCCCGGCCCCUUUAUUUGUGUAUGUGCUCUCAAAGGAUUUUCGUUUCUUCUUUUGGCAAUAAAAUUCUAAUUCAGCAGGUAAAGGAAUAGAUUCUUUAUCAUCAAUAAAAAAUUACAUAAACAAAGUAAAAAAUGUGUUUUAUCUAGAGAAUGUGAAAAAAUAAUAAUAAAUUAAUUUUCAGAAAAGACGUGUGAAUGUGUAUGUCUAGAAAACGGUGCUCAAAACUAUUUUGGUAUUUCUACUAUAUAUAAGUGUUGGUUAUUACUUAUUUGAUUGGAUAAUAUAAUUUAUAAUUUUAACUUUAUAAUUUGAUUUAUUUGUAAAAUUUAAUUAACAAUAUUAAUCUUCUAAUUAAAUCUAUUUACAAACUAUUUUAUUUUUAUACAUAUUAAGAUUUCAUGAUAAGCCUAAAUAAUUCAUUUAUGAAGCACUCAAUACGAAGGUAUUAAUCUAGUUUAAUUUGUAUUGAUUGAAAUUAGAUUAUUAUUUUUAUAUAAAAAGAUAAAGGUUUAAAACACUUACAAUCACAAGAAGCAAGCAAACUUGAAGCUGAGCCUUAUUUUAAACCUUUCUGAUGUAAAGGUAAAACAAAAAAACAUAUGUAAAAGAAAAAGAAUAUACGUCUACAGAGCACAUAAAAGAUAGGGGGAGUGAUUUUUGGACACCAGGUGUCUAAGACAUCUUCAUAAAAAAUCGGUUUUUACUUGAUGUUUAAUUUGACUGAUUUUUUGUUAUUUAGUGAUUUGUCUUGAAUAUAUUUUUGAAAAUAAUAUUUUAGACAAAUCACUAAAUAGCAAAAAAAUCGAAUCAAAUUAAAAAUUAAGAAAAAAACUGAUUUUUUUAUGAAGGUGUUUUAAGACACCUCGUGCCCAAAAAAUCUUUUUCCAAAAGAUGAAUAAAAACACGUCGGAGUACAGAAAAUAAGAGAGAGAGAGGAAAAGCAAGGCCCACAAAGGUAGCCCAUCAGUGAGGGCCCAGCAACGUAGUCCAAGAAGAAUGCCCAACAUGUACUUGUCUAUUGAUUUUGGAAAGAAGAAUUUUAGGGCCAAAGCUACAUAAACGGUCUUUCUAGCUCUAGGUAUAUAAUUAAAAUUCACUAUUUAUUUCAAAAAUAUACUCCUUUCGUUCCAUAAUAAGUGUCUACUUUUCCUUUUCAAAUUGUCUUAUAACAAGUGCAUUUUUACCUUUUAAUCUUCUCCACCUAAAUUUUAUUCAUCUCACAAAAUAAAAGUGGACUCCACUACUUUUUAUCUUUUACUUGUUUAAUCAUAACCACCUAAAUUCUUGUGACCAAAAAAAAAGUAUUUAUUACUUUUAUUCUUAAGAAUUUAUACUUUUAGUUAUUUAAUCAAAUAAUUAUUAUUGUAUGAAAAAGUAAUUAUUGAUAUGUAUAAAAGUACUGUUAUUUUUACUCGUUAUAUAACUUGUAAUUUUGUAUAUUUGGUCAAGUAAUCAUUGUCUUAAGAAAAAAGUAACGAUUGAUGUGAAGAAAAGUAAUGUUUCAAAAAUGUUACAUUUCUUUAUAUAUGUCAAUAAUUAUUUUUCGUAUAAUAAUAAUUAUUUUGAAUAACGUAUAAAUAAAUACUCGAAUAAAAAAAAUCAAAUAAUUAUUCAAGUAAUCAUUGGAUUAGGAUGCUUAUAAGACUUUGGAUUCUGUGAAAAAAAUGACAAGUUAAAAACCCUGAACUCAUUCAGAGGCCAGAGCAGAUGGAUGAUAUUGUUGAAUGUUGAAGUUAGAAGAUUCGUCAUAACUCCAUCAAAAGCCUACUGUCUUCCACAUGAGGUUUGGGGUUGUUCGUGUGAAAGAUGAUGGGUAAUGUGAGUGAGUUUAAUGUAUUAGGCUUUUUUUUUUUGCUUGGGCUGCAAUCAUUGUAGCAGCACCACUGCAAGGGUAGCUGAGAAGAGGUGUGGAAGUGGUGUUGGUGGAGUCUUCACCGUACAAAGAAGGUGGUCGGCGACAAGCGGACGGAGGCUGUGCAGGCAGCAGCGCCGCUCAGUGGCGGCGCGAAAAAACCCUAGGCGGUGAUUGCUUUGGCUUCAUCCGGUGUGUUAAGGUGAAGGGCUUCCCCAAAACAGUGUUUCUGGCGAGUUUUCGGUUAAAAUUAACGUGUUAAAAUUAAAAAAGAAAAAGAUAUUUAAAAUAGUUAACGGUGUUAAUUAAGUCGUCGUUAUGGCGGAGGACCUGAUUAUUCGAAAUUAAGGACUUCAGGGGUUUAGUUGGCCCAACUUCGACUAUAGGGAGCUAAAUGUGAUAAGGGUCACAAUGAUAGGGGCUUAUUUGAAACUUAACCCAUAAAGAUAUUCUAGUUAAAAUCGACAAAAUAAAACUGCAUUAUAACAUGCAUGUUCAAUUUAUGGUAUUCUAUUUGGAGUAUUUACAAAUUACACCAACAGAAAAUCUCCUGGACAUCAGUGUGUACGGUCCAUCUGGGAUAUUAGUAUCAAUAGUAUUAUUUAUAUAACAUGAUAGAGUCAUUUAUAAAACAAAAUAGUGUUAGUGUUUGUGUCAUUUACGCCCAGAUGUUCGGUACACCGAGGUAUACAGUAGACCACCUCUUACAACAAUAUAUGAAUUCAUCCUUACUCUUUUUUUUUCUAAGAAUAAUUCAUCCUUGUCCUAUACAUAUUCCAAUUUCAUAUUUCUAUUCGUGUUAAUAGGCCCUCUCGUGCAAUGUACGUGCCACAAUAUAUUUAUUUAUUUUUAAAUUAUAUAUUAUAUAAAAAUAUCAAAUGUCAUAACUUAUGAGUUAGAUUAAUUGGUACAAAAAAUUAUGUUAAUAUAAAUAUUAGUUUGACUUAAAAUAGUGUAUAAUAACAGUACUAUCAAUUUAAUGAUGAUGAUAAUAAUAAUAAUAAUAAUAAUAAUAAUAAUAAUAAUAAUAAUAAUAAUAAUAAUAAUAAUAAAAUUUAUUAGAUUAUAAAGCAAAUAAUUUAAACCAAUCUCAUUUGAGCAAAUAACAUUAAACGAUCAAUAUAAUAAAACAAAUAGCCAUCAUUUAAUAUAACAAAUUGGAUACUUAAAAGUCCAAACUGUAUUAUUAUUAAAAUUUCAUAUUUAAAUAGCCCAAAACUAAUUAAAAAUUGGAAAAAAUAUGAAUAAUAUAAAAGGAAAAAUUUAACAACAAACAUGUUUAUAGACAUAGAUAAUUUGUACGUAUAAUUAUAUAAAUCUAUAUAAUAUUUUAAAUUCUAAUUUUAAGAUACAUAUAACUAAUUUUUUAUCUACAAAUUCAUAUUAAAAUUAAUAUAUAUUUUCGUAUACUUAAAAGCACCGAUCUUGAAUCUUGACAGCAUUAGAGUCUCAGACAAUUAAAAAAUUAAUAUUUUCGCAGCCAGCACAAUUCCUAAUCGUUAAUUAGCCUCAAUAAUUGAGAAGGUAUUGUUUUUUCAAUAAUUGUCCCUUUCCUUGAAAUAAAAAAUAUUAUUUCCGCAGCCUGCAUAAAUCGACUUUCAAUAACAAUGCUAAUCGUUAAUUAGCCGUAAUAAUUGAGCAGAUAUAUUCUUUUUAAAAUUUUCACCAUUACCAACUCUUCCGACUUCAUUCCUCCCGCCGCCGCCGCCGCCGCCAGAGAGGAGGAAUGACGGCUUAUGGUGCAGUGAAUUCUCUGAGGAAUACAAUUGAUUAUAUUCUCCAUUCUUCUCAUUUUAGCCUCGUUGAUCCCUCUCCAAAUAUCAUACAACUCGCCUACGAGGAGUUGAAUCCAUUGCAAGAAAUUCUUGAAAGAUUGGACAGCACGAGCACAAGCAGGAGCAGGAAGAAGGUGAAUGCUUUGGAUGAAAGAAUCAAAGAGAUGAUUUGGGAAUUCGAGGAUAUAUUGGAAUCACUUGUCUACCAACAGAUUCUUUCACAGUUUCCUGCAGACCAAGUAGAUGAAGAUGAUGUUGGCGGUGAGAAAAUCAGAUUCACCAUUGAUCUGCAAUUCCUACAACAUCAUAUUCCUUCCUUCAUCGAGAGGCUCGAGGAAAUGGAGGAGGAAUACAUUUAUGAAGUAGACAAUAUGCCUGAAGAUGAAGAUGACGACGAGGUCGAAUCUAUUUCCUCAAGAAGUGGGACCAAGUCCAAGAUGAUUGGAUUAUCGGAUCAAUUCCAACAUCUAAAAUGGAGUCUUACGGCAACUUCCAAGCAAUGUUUCUUCGCCGCACUUGUUGGAACUGCAGGCGUUGGGAAGACAGCUCUGGCUGAGGCAGUUUUUGAAGAUCCUGAAAUCAUUAGCCAUUUUGAGCAUCGCAUAUGGGUUACUGUGGGCAGAAAAUCUCAAUUCGAUGAUGUUUCACGAGACAUUCUAGCUCAAAUGUAUGGAAUCACACAAGGAGAUGAUGAAUUAGGUGCCUACUUGAAAGAAAGAUCGGAGGGAAUGAAAUGUCUCAUUGUGCUCGAUGAUGUGUGGGAGGAACAGAUAUUGGAUUCCUUGAAACGAUGCUUUAGGAACAUUGAUAAUGGAUCAUUUCAUAUCUUGGUUACUACUCGAGAUCGAAACGUAAUUCUUGCAAUGAUUAAUCCUUUUUCUAUAAUGUUAGUGCGGUUUUUGAAGGAGGACGAAGGUAAGGAGCUGCUAUGCGAGAAGGUGUUUGGUGAGAAGAGUUGCCCUUUUCAACUUGAUAAAGCCGCUAACAAAAUUGUCAAGAACUGUGAAGGUCUUCCUCUCAUGAUAGUCACAGUGGCUAGCAUCCUAUCAAAAGCCCAUAACAUAGAUCCAAAAUAUUGGGAGGACGUAGCAGAAUUGCGAAAUUCAGUCUUCACCGAUGCAUAUAAUGAGAUAUCGAAGGUACUUUUUCCAAGCUACGACUACUUACUUCAAUAUCUCAAAAUGCCUUUUCUGUAUAUGGGAGUCUUUCCUCCGGAUUAUGACAUCCCCUUUUCUAAGUUCAUGAAUAUGUUGGAUACUGAGGGCUGGUUUCAUAGCAUUGAGACAGAACAAUCUUUGGAGGAAUCUAUCUCGGAAUAUUUGGAGGAGCUUUGUAAUCUUAGGAAUCUUGCUUUAUCCAACUCAAGGACUUGGAAUAUUAGUUAUGCCAUUGCGUUUAAAACCUGUCGCCUUCAUUCUUCAUGGUGUCACGUGUGUAGAGGAGAAGCUCGGAAGAACAAGUUUUAUCAUGUUAUCAAAAAGCUUGUUCAAGUCUUAGAAGAUGGUGUAAAAGGUCAGCGUUGCUUGUGUCUUGAAAAUAACCUUUAUUUAGCAUCAAAGACUUUUGCAACUCGGUGAGAUUGAACUGUGCAUCCUCUGCACGUUCUCUCCUUUUUUUUGGUCCAUACCACCAAUAUCCAAUCCCAAUAGGUGACGAUUUCAAGUUGCUUGGGAAACUAGAUGCUCUUAAUCUACGUUUGUACACUUUCCCAACAGAAAUUCUCACACUAGUCCUACUAAAGUACCUUGCUCUAACUUGCAACGGAGAACUCCCUACAACCAUAUCCAAACUUUUCAAUCUUCGAGUCUUGAUUAUUCAUCCACAUAACAACAUUAGCAUUUGUGGUUCUCCAUCAUAUGUACCCGUACAAAUAUGGGAUAUGCGAGAGUUAGAGCAUAUUGAGAUAUUGGGGAAGAGUCUUGUAGCUCCAUGUCAUUCUGUUUCUUUGGAAAAACUCUCAACACUUGUAGGUGUAAAUGCCGACAUUUGUAAUAUCUUGGAGCUCUCCAAAAAAGUUCCUUUUGUAAGGAAAUUAGGAGUUCAGAUCAAGCUAACGCCUUAUGAUGAUCAUAUCAACCUUUUAAGUUGCUUUGGUUGUGUUUCAACACUUAAAAGUUUGGAGAUACUGAAAUAUAGUAUCAUAAAUCCUGUGGUUAACUACGAUUAUGUGUUUCGUAGUUCAUUGAUGAUGUUGCCACAUGCAUUGCAAAAGUUACAUUUGAGUGGCAUGGGUCUUUCUUGGAAAUACAUGAGUGUGAUUGGCUCUUUGCCAAAUCUUGAAGUGCUCAAAUUGCGAGCCUAUGCCUUUCGGGGUUCAAAGUGGGAAGAAGGAAGUUUUUUAAGACUUUUGUUUCUUUUUAUUGAAGACAGUGAUUUGGUGCAAUGGAAACCAAGAUCUAGAAGCUUCCCUUAUCUUGUCCGCCUAAGCAUGAAACAUUGCUACAAACUAGAAGAGAUCCACUGGUCGUCUCGUUCGGGGAGGGGAACGAUUGAAUUAGUGAAUUGCAAUCCAAUAGCUUUGACUUGUGUCAGGCAGUUACAACCGACUCAACCUACUCUUUUUGAUGUUACUGCCUCUUCUUCUUUUGACGAGAAACCCACUACUAUCAAGUUUACGAGGUUAGUCUUGCAAUUACUCAUCAAUUCAUGUCCUACUUUAACAUAUAUUUCAAAUUAGCUAUGAGAUUUCAUUUUAAAUCACACUAGCUCAUAAUAGACUUAGGGAGCGAUUACUUUGAAAUGGGGCCCAUAAUAGAUAAAAAUAAUAAGGUUAAUCCCUUGUUUACUUUUAUGAAUUGAAAUUUUGGGAUAUUCUAAGGCCCUUGAUUAAUUUUAUCAUUUAAACUAGUUUUGCAUAUUCUUAUCCCAUUGAAAGUGUGGGAUUAGAUAAAUCUCACUUUUGACGAUACAAAUACUCAAUCAUGCAAAUAAACACUCCCCUUAAUUCAAAUUUGAUGCUAUAAAAUAUUUUACGUUGUAGAUGAGAAUUUCACAAGAAAUAAAAACGAGGGAUGUGUUGCUCCAAUGUGUGUGGGUGUGUGUAGGUUCAUUGUGGGUUGCUACAACAACUUCCACAUAUAUCACAAGAGUGCAUGAUUAUUCUUUGAAUAUUUAUGUGCUAUUUUGCUAUUAAAUUUCAGGUAUUGGUCUGGGUUUGAAUAAAAGGGUCAGAAAGGUGUGACGCCCUCUAUUUUGCUAUAUUAACUUUCAGGUAUUGCUAUUCUCCAUCCACGUGUUUAUAAUUACUUUUAGCAAUUUUAUUAGGGAAAUGCUCAAUUCACAUAAUAUGUGCGCACAUAAUUGGAUAUUUUUGUCAUUCUAUAAAUUUCCAUAAAUUAUGGAAUUAAUUUACGUAAUCAUCCUUUGAGAUAAUUAAGGAAUGUACAAUUCAAAUUUCAAUCUUAUAUCUUUCCUUAAUAACAAAUUAUUUAUUUCCUUAAAUUAAAUUAUGAAUCAAUUUUCAUUAUACAGCUUUAUUUAUCAAUGAUUUACAUCCCAUAAAUUAGCUCAAACUCAACUAGAAGAAUCAAGUAAUUAAAAUUGCAGUCAAAUUAUUGUUUCAUAUUCUUAUUUAAUUAGUUAGUUAUUUUUCUUCAAUAACGUUACAUGACUAAUUAAUGAUUUAAUAUGUAUUGAUGAAAAAAUUGAUGAACUCAUCAACUUAGCAUUCUAAAUUCAUAUAUUAUAUAGAUUUAUUUACAAAUUUAUUAUUAUAAUUAUUAUUUUGGAAUAUAAGAAUAAUUAUGUUGAAUGUUAUUUUUAGAUUUAUUAUAUGUAUAAUAUAUUAAAUUACAUAAUUAACUUUAUAUUAAGUAUAUAUGACGGAUACAGUAGGCAAAUCAAAAUUUUAUAAAAUAAGGCUCUUUUAUAAUAGGUAUAGUUUGUGAGGAUCUAAAUUAAGUGAUGAGGGAUUUGAAGGCAAGAAGUGAAUAUUCAUCACUUUUGAUUUGAUGAGGCUAAGACAAGAAAACAAUAUGAGUAGGAAAAAUGGGGAAACUCUCCCCAUACUGAAAAUGCAGAGUGCUAAUUGUAAUUUUGUGCACAAACAAGAAGCCUAGCUGAUGCCAUUUAUAUUGCAAGCUAAAAUAAAUUUUGACUAUUAGUAAUUCUCUAAGAAAAAGAGUAUGACAUUAAAAAACUAUUAACUUAAUAUAUUAACUCCGUCUUUAAUAGGUCACAAGGUUUGAAUACGAAUAUGGACAUUAGAUGCCACAUGAUAUCGCAACCCUUCUGUUUAAGAUGUGUUUUCGUUUUGAGUAAUUAUUAUUGUAUUACUAUUUGAUUACUUAAUUAAACAAGAGACUCCUGCAAUAUGCUCUCGACAUAAGAAGUAAGAUAUUUUGUAAUUGAUUAAAUUAAUUAAAAAAACAAGAGCCAAAAGAAAAAAUGUAUAGAACAUUAUUUAUAAAUUAAGCAACAAAUACAAACCAACGAUUUAUAGGCUUAACAGAAUCCGAUAAAUGUUUUGAGGUAAUGUUUUGAGGCUUAACAGAAUAUGUUCCAACUAGAUUCACGUGUAGUAUUUUUGCUUGAAUAAAUCCAAAACAGUUUUAAAGCUACCUAUUCACGUGAUGACAUUAAUCUAAAAAUUUAAAACUACCUAAAAAAUCACAAAACUGUUUUAAUAUAUCUAAAAAAAAUUACCUAAACGAGAUGAAAUUAAAACAUAACAUAUUCGAACUGUUGUGACAAAAUAGGAUUUAAAGAGCACAAUCAAACAGAAAACGUAAAGAAGACACAUAUUUACGUGGUUCACCAAUAUGGCUACAUCCACGGACACAGAGGAUGACAGAUUUUAUUAUGCGCCUAGGGUUACAAAUUAUAGAUCUCAAGUAUUUAUAGUAUUUAUAUAUCUCAGCGAGAGACUCGUAGUUCGAAGCGGGAGAUUCAAGACAUAACAACACGAACAAACAACAAUAUUUCUUAAACUCUAAAGUUGAAAUCGAGCACAAACACACUAAAGUAGCCAUUAAAAAUGAGAUAAUUAAGAAAAAGAAAACACAAUUCGAGCACAAUCCUUCAAUUAAGUUCUCCUGCGUGUUGGUGUAGGUGUAGCUCUGCUGCGUCUCUUCUUCUUCUUCUUAUUAUUAUAUCCAAUGCCGAAAAAGAAUUCCACUAACCAUCUUGGCCUUCCAUUUCUAAUAAUGAUGUAACCAAUUCCAAUCCCAACUAUGAAUCCACUUCCAUAUCUGAUGAAGAUAGAAUUGUAUAAUAUAUUAUAUCUUUAAUUAUUGAUUUGUCUUGUUGGUCAAGUUAGUUUGUUUCCUUUUAGAUGUCUAGGGUUUUAUUAUAAAUAGGAGUUUUAUUUAU
rnacentral:lncRNA from 1 species